rnacentral:rRNA from 2 species
GCACUCCCGGGGCGUCUCUAUCUCAUUGCGAGAGGAGGCGCACCUAUAGCGUACACGCUGAUACCCGAAAGAUGGUGAACUAUGCCUGGCCAGGACGAAGCCAGGGGAAACCCUGGUGGAGGUCCGCAGCGAUUCUGACGUGCAAAUCGAUCGUCGGAGCUGGGUUUAGGGGCGAAAGACCAAUCGAACCAUCUAGUAGCUGGUUCCCUCUGAAGUUUCCCUCAGGAUAGCUUGCGCUCGGACGAGACGAGUCUCAUCCGGUAGAGCGAAUGAUUAGAGGCCUUGGGGUCGAAACGACCUCAACCUAUUCUCAAACUCCAAAUAGAUGAGAACCCUGGCUUUCUUAAACUAUGAAGCCAAGGGGUUUCGGAUCAGAGUGCCAAGUGGGCCAAUUUUGGUAAGCAGAACUGGCGCUGUGGGAUGAACCAAACGAGGAGUUAAGGCGCCUCAAUCGACGCUCAUGUGAGACCAUGAAAGGCGUUGGUUGCUUAAGACAGCAG